rnacentral:rRNA from 1 species
UACAGAGGUGGCAAGCGUUGUUCGGAAUUACUGGGCGUAAAGGGCGCGUAGGCGGUCUUGUAAGUCCUGUGUGAAAUCCCUCGGCUCAACUGAGGAACUGCACGGGAUACUGCGAGACUUGAGUUCGGGAGAGGGAAGCGGAAUUCCGGGUGUAGCGGUGAAAUGCGUAGAUAUCCGGAGGAACACCGGUGGCGAAGGCGGCUUCCUGGACCGACACUGACGCUGAGGCACGAAAGCUAGGGGAGCAAACGGG